UACGUAGGGGGCAAGCGUUAUCCGGAUUUACUGGGUGUAAAGGGAGCGUAGGUGGUUCGGUAAGUCAGAUGUGAAAGCCCGGGGCUCAACCCCGGGACUGCAUUUGAAACUAUCGGACUAGAGUGUAGGAGAGGUAAGUGGAAUUCCUAGUGUAGCGGUGAAAUGCGUAGAUAUUAGGAGGAACACCAGUGGCGAAGGCGGCUUACUGGACUAUAACUGACACUGAGGCUCGAAAGCGUGGGGAGCAAACAGG
rnacentral:rRNA from 1 species